rnacentral:pre_miRNA from 1 species
UCUUAUGGGUGAGCAAAGAAGGCGAUUUCUUGAGAUGGAAAUUGCUCCUGGUGAAGAUGCUGUGAA